rnacentral:misc_RNA from 1 species
AAGUCGUAACAAGGUUUCCGUAGGUGAACCUGCGGAAGGAUCAUUAACAAAAAGUAUAGAAAAAAGAGAGAGAGAGGGAAAAGGGAGCUUCUUUUUUUUCUCUCUCUCUCUUUUUUUGACACAUUGUGCACUUUAUGACUAUUUUUAUUUUCAUAUAUAUAACAAAAUACAACUUUUAACAAUGGAUCUCUUGGCUCUU